CAGGCCUAACACAUGCAAGUCGAACGAGAAAGUGGAGCAAUCCAUGAGUAAAGUGGCGACCGGGUGAGUAACACGUGACUAACCUACCUUCGAGUGGGGGAUAACCUAGGGAAACCUGGGCUAAUACCGCAUAACAUCUUUGGAGUGGAAAUUCUGGAGAUCAAAGGAGCAAUUCGCUUGAAGAGGGGGUCGCGGCUGAUUAGCUAGUUGGCGGGGUAAUGGCCCACCAAGGCUUUGAUCGGUAGCCGGCCUGAGAGGGCGCACGGCCACACUGGAACUGAAACACGGUCCAGACUCCUACGGGAGGCAGCAGUGGGGAAUUUUGGACAAUGGGCGCAAGCCUGAUCCAGCCAUGCCGCGUGGGUGAUGAAGGCCCUAGGGUUGUAAAGCCCUUUCGGCGGGGAAGAUAAUGACGGUACCCGCAGAAGAAGCCCCGGCUAACUUCGUGCCAGCAGCCGCGGUAAUAC
rnacentral:rRNA from 1 species